rnacentral:lncRNA from 1 species
UGCUGUGUGCUGUGUGCUGUGGGGGUGGGUACGAGCACAGACAGGCAUCAUGUGCCAUCAUUAUUCCCGAUCCCAACUGCGAUCCUUGUCCCCUUAUAGACAUGGAUGUACAGCACUUGGUUUGUGAUCUGACAAAAAUGCAACGGGUGCCACGCAGUUGAAUGUACGAUCGGAUGGAUGGAUGGGAUGGAUGGAUGAGCAGACGAACGGAUGGAUGGACGGAUGACUUGUCCGCUGGCGGAUGUACAGACAUCCCGUAUGUUCUCAUACAAAUCGGCAAUGGAUUUUUGUGCACUUCUGAC